GACGAACGCUGGCGGCGUGCUUAACACAUGCAAGUCGAACGGAAAGGCCCUGCUUUUGUGGGGUGCUCGAGUGGCGAACGGGUGAGUAACACGUGAGUAACCUGCCCUUGACUUUGGGAUAACUUCAGGAAACUGGGGCUAAUACCGGAUAGGAGCUCCUGCUGCAUGGUGGGGGUUGGAAAGUUUCGGCGGUUGGGGAUGGACUCGCGGGUUAUCAGCUUGUUGGUGGGGUAGUGGCUUACCAAGGCUUUGACGGGUAGCCGGCCUGAGAGGGUGACCGGCCACAUUGGGACUGAGAUACGGCCCAGACUCCUACGGGAGGCAGCAGUGGGGAAUAUUGCACAAUGGGCGGAAGCCUGAUGCAGCAACGCCGCGUGCGGGAUGACGGCCUUCGGGUUGUAAACCGCUUUCGCCUGUGACGAAGCGUGAGUGACGGUAAUGGGUAAAGAAGCACCGGCUAACUACGUG
rnacentral:rRNA from 1 species